GUGCCAGCAGCUGCGGUAAUACGAAAGGGGCAAGCGUUGUUCGGAUUUACUGGGCGUAAAGGGCACGCAGGCGGUCUUGCCAGUCAGGGGUGAAAGCCCGGGGCUCAACCCCGGAACUGCCUCUGAUACUGCAGGACUAGAGACUAGGAGAGGGUGGUGGAAUUCCCAGUGUAGAGGUGAAAUUCGUAGAUAUUGGGAGGAACACCAGAGGCGAAGGCGGCCACCUGGACUAGAUCUGACGCUCAGGUGCGAAAGCGUGGGAGCAAACAGGAUUAGAUACCCUGGUAGUCCAACGCCGUAAACGAUGAGUGCUAGUUGUCGGGAUUUCGAUUUC
rnacentral:rRNA from 1 species